UUUUAAGCCCGGGGUUUCC
rnacentral:piRNA from 1 species